AAUUCUGUUUACUUCUAUUCUCCAUUCAUGUCAGGUUGCCAAGAAGACCGAGAUCUUUCAAUAUGUGAAUAUGUCUAUUUGAUGAAUUUAAUGAGGGGAGAACCUAAAAUGUAAUUUUACUUUUGCUCCUUUCCUAAGUUUUGUCAAUUUGACCGACCUUGUAUGGUGCUUUUGAGGGGGAAAAUUUCAGUGAUCAAACCCUAAGUCUCCUCUGUAUGAGAUCACAUUUCAGUGUUCUGUGAUGUUGUAAGUCGUGCAAAGCAGAUUUUUCGGAAAUCAGUGUAGGGAAACGUUUCCCUACUAAAGUGGGAGGUCAGUGUUAUCAAUCUCUUCUCUGGGAUAAGUUCUUUGUAUUUGGUCUUAAAAUUUGACUUUUUCUUGCAUGUGUAUUGUGCCGAGAUAUCAGACUCUUCAAGGCUUUUUUCUUGUUCAUGUCGAUUUAUGACGGCUGCAAGAAGGGGCCUAAGUGCUGAUGUUUCAGUAAGCUAAUUAAUGUGUAUGGUUGAACAGAUGAUUCUCACUUGUUGGUGACUGUCUAAUGUGUUGAAGCCAAAUGCACUCUGGGGUCUCAUUGUCUUAACUCUUGGGAAUCGAUACUGAUGAAAUUGUGCUACCUUUCCUUUCCUAUCCCUCCAUUUCGUGAAGGGUUGUUACAUGAUAAGCAGUGUGUCGAUAAGCCAAAAAUAUGCAGAAUAGCUUUUAGUUUUUUUCAUUUUUCAGAUUUUUCCUACCUCGGCGAAAUGAAUUGGAAGAGUAUAUUGUUCUUUGUGGAAAGAUGAGGGUAUAGCCAUACUAAGUUAAACUUUUGUAGU
rnacentral:lncRNA from 1 species